rnacentral:rRNA from 1 species
UCCUACGGGAGGCAGCAGUGGGGAAUAUUGCACAAUGGACGAAAGUCUGAUGCAGCAACGCCGCGUGGAGGAUGACACAUUUCGGUGCGUAAACUCCUUUUAUAUAAGAAGAUAAUGACGGUAUUAUA